rnacentral:lncRNA from 1 species
UGCAUGUGUUCAAAACUAAUUGGAUAAAUUAAUAGAAAAAACAUUGAGCUAGGGUUAUUUAAAAAAAAAAAAAAGAUGUCAACUGUGCAGGAAAUUUCAGAGGAAGAACUAGCUGAAACCUAGGAGUGAAUUCCUAGGAAAUACGUGCCUCUCUUAUGCUUUUCCCUAGGAGUUCAAUAUUUGCUGAUUCCAAGUACAGCACACUGGACUAGUUGGAUCUUUCAUCUGACGUUUUAUGGUGCAAUGGAAAGAUGCUGAAUACUGAAGUCUCCCAGGCGGAGGAGGUUUCCAGUACUGCGCAACCUCUUCAGAAGUGGGGGCCCAACGGUGUGGGCUGUUCCUCUUUCUCCUGCUGAGGGAGUUCAUUCUCUUCCUGCAGGCUGCUCUUCAGUUCUUAAACAGGUCAAGUAUGACUCCGCAGACAGACAUGGUGCAAGGGCAGCUAAAAGGGCCAUAUCAAUUCCUGAUGUCAUCUGACUUAGCCCCAGUUUAGAGGUGAGAUCCUUGCUGACUGCCCAUAACCUUCAUGGGAAAGAAAAUGAAGAAGUCACACCUUAGGAGAGACAAGGCAAGCCAUCCCUAGUAAAUGGUUAUGAUUGUAUUUCUUCUUUCAGCAGACCUAGCAAUAUGGUUAGACCUUGGACUGAGUCCUUA